GGCGAUAUCUCAGGUACGGGCGAGUGAACGGGGGAAGAGCCCAGCGCUAAAUCCUGUUGCUCUAACGGGUAACGGGAGGUGUAGCGUAUAGUAGGCGAAUUUCCUUGAUGGCUGUCGACUUAAAUUCUCCUUGACUGGGGUUCCAGAGAAGGUGAAAGGCCUGUUCAGUCGAUGGCCGUCUUGGAUUCCGUUCUACUUGGAGUCGGGUUGUUUGGGAACGCAGCCCAAAUUGGGUGGUAAACUUCAUCUAAGGCUAAAUACGGCCACGAAACCGAUAGCAAACAAGUACCGUGAGGGAAAGUUGAAAAGUACUUUGAAGAGAGAGUUCAAGAGGACGUGAAACCGGUAGGAUGGAAACGGAUAGAGCCAACGAACAAGCCCGUAUUCAGCUAGUCGGCUGCGUGCGGCAUGCCUGUGUGCUCGUUCAGGGUGCAUGGGUGUGUGCGGUAUGCGGUCGGCUAGUGCAUUUGCGGGUGAUGUGCGCUGAGGCGUGUGGCGGAGUCCUGCAAACUGUCUGGAGAGGCCUCGCCUUCGGGCUUGAAACCUACAGGCGGGGAGUAGGGUUUCUGCUGCAUGUAGACGAAGCGACUAGGUGCAAACGCGCUGUCGUGCUGCCGGGCUAGCUGCUUGGCCGGUCGCAUGCGACUAGGUCUUGUUGGUUGGUCUUGGUGGUGCGGCAGUGCCCUGGUCGACCCUCGGUGUAAAAGUUGGUCAUCUCUCCGACCCGCUGGAAAACACGGAAAUAAACGGCCCCCGGCGCCUGGAUUCUGAUACAUAUAAAACUCAUAGAUCGAGAUGAGAUCUAUUAGAAUAUGGUCGACGGAGGAUCCGUACGCGAUGGGGCAGAGUGUGCGGGGGGGGGGUGGGGGGGAGGGUGGGGGUGGGGAAAAGAGUGGCGAGCGCGUAAGAGAGGGCGUGGGGCUGGAG
rnacentral:rRNA from 1 species